rnacentral:lncRNA from 1 species
GAAAUCUACUUAUCUUGCCAAAGAAUAGUCUUAAAAAUAUGUCAUUUCCUCCAAGACAUCAUCAAUUCCAUCUUCUUUCCACAGCCUUAACCAGGAUGCUCUGGCACCUCCCACAUUAGUCUCACAUUCUAAAAUGACAGAUUAACUAAGAGACCAUCUAUUUAUUUUCCUUAUAUGUUUAAGCCAGUGUAUAGUUAACUACUCAAGUUUUUAUUUGCACAAGAAUCUAAUACAACUGAACAUAAUUGGUUUAAUCACAGGUACAAUAGUUAUUUUAAUUAAUUGGGAAAAGAAUGUCUCCAUAAGCCUUCUUCUUUCAAAGUGGCAUUUAAGACUCCAUGUUUUAAAAGUGUUGUUAUGCCUUUUGUAUUUCUCUAUUUUAAGUAAAUGAAUUUCUAAAUUUAUAUUGAUGAUAUAAUGAUGGAAUCACCCUCAUCAGCACCUGAGUUGACUUUUUAUUUCUAUAUCCCUUUUGCACGAAGAGUAUCAGAGAACAUGGAUUAGUCAAUGAAAAGUGAGAUACAGUUUCCUAAGAAACAACAUCAUUUCUUUUUUUUUCUUUUUUGACUUGAUCCUAUUUAAUUAC